AACGAACGCUGGCGGCAUGCCUAACACAUGCAAGUCGAACGAGACCUUCGGGUCUAGUGGCGCACGGGUGCGUAACGCGUGGGAACCUGCCCUUAGGUUCGGAAUAACUCCCCGAAAGGGGUGCUAAUACCGGAUAAUGUCUUCGGACCAAAGAUUUAUCGCCUUUGGAUGGGCCCGCGUUGGAUUAGCUAGUUGGUAGGGUAAAAGCCUACCAAGGCGACGAUCCAUAGCUGGUUUGAGAGGAUGAUCAGCCACACUGGGACUGGGACACGGCCCAGACUCCUACGGGAGGCAGCAGUGGGGAAUAUUGGACAAUGGGCGAAAGCCUGAUCCAGCAAUGCCGCGUGAGUGAUGAAGGCCUUAGGGUUGUAAAGCUCUUUUACCCGGGAUGAUAAUGACAGUACCGGGAGAAUAAGCUCCGGCUAACUCCGUG
rnacentral:rRNA from 1 species